AACGUAGGAGACAAACGUUAUCCGGAGUUACUGGGCGUAAAGGGCGUGCAGGUGGUCUGUUAAGUCUGGCGUGAAAGCUCCUGGCUAAACCGGGAGAGGUCGUUGGAUACUGGCGGACUAGAGGACGGUAGAGGCGUGUGGAAUUCCGGGUGUAGUGGUGAAAUGCGUAGAGAUCGGCAGGAACACCCAGGGGGAAACCAGUGGACUGGGCAUGUGCUGACGCUCAGGUGCGAAAGCGUGGGGAGCGAACCGG
rnacentral:rRNA from 1 species